GACGAACGCUGGCGGCGUGCUUAACACAUGCAAGUCGAACGGUGAAGCGCCUUCCUUUUUGGUGGGUGUGGAUGAGUGGCGAACGGGUGAGUAACACGUGAGUAACCUGCCCCCUUCUUCUGGAUAACCGCAUGAAAGUGUGGCUAAUACGGGAUAUUCUGGGUCUGUCGCAUGAUGGGUCUGGGAAAGAUAUUGUUUCGGUGGGGGAUGGGCUCGCGGCCUAUCAGCUUGUUGGUGGGGUGAUGGCCCACCAAGGCGGUGACGGGUAGCCGGCCUGAGAGGGUGGACGGUCACACUGGGACUGAGACACGGCCCAGACUCCUACGGGAGGCAGCAGUGGGGAAUAUUGCACAAUGGGCGCAAGCCUGAUGCAGCGACGCCGCGUGAGGGAUGGAGGCCUUCGGGUUGUGAACCUCUUUCGCCAGUGAAGCAGGCCUGCCUCGUUUGUGGGUGGGUUGACGGUAGCUGGAGAAGAAGCGCCGGCUAACUACGUG
rnacentral:rRNA from 1 species